rnacentral:rRNA from 1 species
GACGAACCGUGCGAACGUUGUUCGGAUUCACUGGGCUUAAAGGGCGCGUAGGCGGACUCGCAAGUCUGUGGUGAAAGCCCCCAGCUCAACUGGGGAAGUGCCGUGGAUACUGUGAGUCUGGAGGAGGGUAGGGGCAUCUGGAACGCUGGGUGGAGCGGUGAAAUGCGUUGAUAUCCAGCGGAACUCCGGUGGCGAAGGCGAGGUGCUGGACCCUUUCUGACGCUGAUGCGCGAAAGCCAGGGGGGCAAACGGG